rnacentral:misc_RNA from 1 species
CCGAUAAUCAGCCCCUCCAAUUGCCUCCAAAGCUACGUUUGCCAACACUGAAUCUUGUUUUGGAAAUGCAACCACAAUUAAAUUGGCCACUUGUUUACCCCAAAUAAAGUACACAAUCACAAUUAAAUGACGUGAUGGACCAGAAAGGCGCUUCGGGAAGUCAUUCGACCCGGCUAUCCCAAGGAAAAGUCACCCACGCGCAGCAGGCCGCGGCGGAAAGUCGGCGAAGUAACAUCAUCGAGGACAUGGCCAAAAUAUGCGAAGCCGAUCGCCAGACUAGCUCCUUCGCUCAAAGGACUCAAGGUAUCGAGCGGCUUUCGGCUGACAACAGUGGCUUCGUCGCCGUGGAGUACCUUAUUCUGGCCAGCGCUGAGCCCACGCCCGAGGAGCGGGUUGAGAUGAUCAUGCUGGACUUUUGCUCGUCUCCAACUUACACAGAGGAUGAGGAUGAGCCUAGCUAUGAGUCGGAGCCGUGGUUUCGAUUUCGCAAGAAAAGGAUCAAAACUUACGGUCGGAAGAGAGAUACAAAAGGUCAUAUGGUCCUGCGGAACGAGGAGCCCAAUAGUUUCUCGGCCCUCUCUAUACAGAGGGAUCCCAAUAGUUCGUUGACCUCUGUGGCUUGUGACUUUGAUGCUGCGGCAACGCAGAGGAUACACGAGGUCCUGUUAAACCUAAGUCAACACCUUUCGGUGAGCGCCACCGAUUCCAGUCCCACUCCUUCCGUCCCAUCGCAAAUAGAUCUGCCAACCGAAGCCGGGCGAGAUCCUGAGAAUCCCCCGAAUUCUGGGGACCACCCAGUUAACCUUUCAGAUACAAAUAUGGAAGAUGACUGUUUGAACACUGAGGUGAUGAACUUGAGAGACGACCUGUUGGAGAACGGAUUUACCUUCGAGAAAUCUAUGUGUGACCAUGAGCCGGAAGGAACUCUGGCAGACACUCUCUUUGGCGAUACCAGGCAAGCGAUCUCCAUCACGCAUCCCCAAUUGGAAACAGGAGAAUGUAAAGUUUGGUCUGAUGCAGACUUAGUGCUGAAGAAGUCCAAAAAGAUGUCAUUAGAUGUUUUGAACGAACAAAUGCAAGCGGAACAUCCUGUAGAUGAAAAUACGAACCUAAUAUUGGAAGGCAUCCCAAUGAGCGAAUGGCAAACUCCAAUGGAGCUGCCCGAGAAAUCCAAAGAGUUAAUCAAACAUAUACCCGAAGAAAAGGUAAAGUUGGAGCCAAGUUCUCAGAAAAAGCAUGAACGUAGCAAUGAUUCAAAUGAAUCAAAGUUUAGAGCAGUCUCGAACAAAGAAAGUGAUAUUGCCAAAGAAAAGGGAGGUGCUAUGGUCGUGGACAAGUCUAAAGAGAAUGAAAAUUUUCUAAACGACGGUGAUCUUCUUCAGGAGUUUCUGUUUAAUGAAUGGAACCCAAUACAGAGUUUUGAAGGCCCAUCGACAUCUAAGGACGCAAUUGAAGUGCCUAAGAAAAAGAUCAAUUCAAUGAAGCCUGACGACGAGCAGCAACCAGAGAAGAAGACACCCAAUAAAAGUCAGUCCUCAGGUCAUAAAAUUGUUGGCUUUCGAAAAACGCCCUAUAAAUUUAUUAAGGUUUCGGAAGAAAUGAAACUUAAAGGCGAAAAGUUUGUAGCCCAUGUUGUAUCCGAUUUAAAUCAGUCUACUCAAAAGUGCCACUUAGUCACUGAGGAAUACUGCGCUAAUCAUAGUCAAGUGAUGAAUUCAACAUCGAAACCCAUCGAAACAUUGGAUGUUACCAACAAGGAAGCAAAGCUUGAGGUUGGAGAAAUAAAUGCCAAAUUCAGUCCUCUGAAAAAGGAGAGCAUACCAGAGCCCGAGUUUUCUGGCUUCCGUACAGCCUCAAAUAAAGCAAUUGUAAUUUCUGAAAAGAUGAAAAUGAAAACUGCAGAGUUUAUGGCUGAGUUUCAGUCCGCGGAAUCCAAUCAGCAAAAUGGUUAUGAAGUCAAUCAGUCAAAUGACACGAAAUCAAUUGAGAUUUCAAAGGAAAUGCCAUCGAAGGUUUCCAAGUUGGUCAUUGAUAUUAAAAUGGAAGAACCACAUGACUCCAAUCAAUCAACGUUUAUGGGUUUUAGAACAGCGUCAAACAAGGCCAUUGAGAUUACCGAGGCGAUGGAAAAGAGAGGAGCCAUGUUCCUGGCCCAGUCAAAGGCUACAGACCAACAAGACGCAGAACUUACUGAGGAGCUCGUUUUUAGUGAAUGGCUGCCAAGCGAUCUUCCUGAUGUUGCAUCCACCUCUAAUGAUCUAACUGUGGCUCCAAUAAAUGUUGGAAAAACCAAUACUGUGGAUAUGAAAACUAAAACUGAGAGCGAGUUUUUUGGCUUUCGCACGGCCUCAAACAAAGGAAUUGUGAUUUCUGAAAAGAUGAAAAUGAAAACUGCAGAGUUUAUGGCUGAGUUUCAGUCCGCAGAAUCCAAUCAGGAAAAUGGUAAUGAAGUCAAUCAGCCAAAUGACACGGAAUCAAUUGAGAUUUCAAAGGAAAUGCGAUCGAAUACUUCCAAGUUGGUCGUUGAUAAUAAAAUGAAAGAACCAUAUGAACCCACAAAUGCCCAGGAUUGCUGUGACUCCAAUGAAUCAACGUUUACGGGCUUUAGAACAGCGUCAAACAAAGCCAUUGAGUUUACCGAGGCGAUGGAGAGGAGAGGAGCCAUGUUCCUGGCCCAGGUAAAGCAGCCAAGCGAUCUUCCUGAUGUUGCAUCCACCUCUAAUGACCUAACUGUAACUCCAAUAAUUGUUGAAAAAACCAAUACUGUGGAUACGAAAGCCGCUUUUGAAAGCGAGUUUUUUGGUUUUCGAACGGCCUCAAAUAAAGGAAUUGUGAUUUCUGAAAGUACGAAAGUCAAAGCUGCGCAGUUUAUGAGUGAAUUUCAAGCCGUUGGCCCAAGUACUGACUCAAUCAAACCAAUUGGGAUCCCUGAGGAAUCGAAAAGUACUGAUGCUCAGUUCGUGGAGGAAGUGGUGGCAGAAGACAGCCCCAGCAAAGCACCUUUUUAUGUACAAAGUCAAGGAAAUACCUCAGCUAUUGAGCACUUCCAUCGUGACUUCUCCGUAGAUCGUUCGGCAAAGAAAGAGCAUCCGCGGACGCCCAAGAGGUCGCAGGAGAUCCACUCCUCCCUGUCGCAACUUGCCGGCAUAUCACCACUGGAUCAGGCCACCAAGAAGUCCGUGAUAGAGCGCCGUAAUAUCCUGACACUGAAGAGAAGACGAAAGAUCACCUCGUCAACUGAAACUUAUGCAACUUGUGCCUCGCCGGCUGGGGAGAGAUUCGCACCAUUGCCCGCUGCGACAAGCACUCCGCUGGCUGCCAGGAAUUCAAAUCUCCCCGAGGACUGCACAAAUGAUAGGCAGAGUGUGGAGGACAUGUCACCCAUUUGCAUGCAACCCAGAAAGAGUCGAAGACUUGGUUUGAGUGGACGCCGCUAUUAGUUGCUUAUUACCCAACAGAUUUAAGCCGCUGGUCGAUUUAAAUGGGUAGAUACUUAGUUGAAUUAAAGUAUGACAUAUUGAAUGAGUCACUUA